GACGAACGCUGGCGGCGUGCCUAAUACAUGCGAGUUGAGCGAUGAAGCUUGGUGCUUGCACCAAUUUGAAGAGCAGCGAACGGGUGAGUAACGCGUGGGGAAUCUGCCUUUGAGCGGGGGACAACAUUUGGAAACGAAUGCUAAUACCGCAUAACAACUUUAAACAUAAGUUUUAAGUUUGAAAGAUGCAAUUGCAUCACUCAAAGAUGAUCCCGCGUUGUAUUAGCUAGUUGGUGAGGUAAAGGCUCACCAAGGCGAUGAUACAUAGCCGACCUGAGAGGGUGAUCGGCCACAUUGGGACUGAGACACGGCCCAAACUCCUACGGGAGGCAGCAGUAGGGAAUCUUCGGCAAUGGACGAAAGUCUGACCGAGCAACGCCGCGUGAGUGAAGAAGGUUUUCGGAUCGUAAAACUCUGUUGGUAGAGAAGAACGUUGGUGAGAGUGGAAAGCUCAUCAAGUGACGGUAACUACCCAGAAAGGGACGGUUAACUACGUG
rnacentral:rRNA from 1 species